rnacentral:lncRNA from 1 species
GCUGGUAAAGCCAAAUUCAGAAAUCAUGUUGACUGUCAAGAUCUACAUUCAGAAAUGAUGGAGAUUAUUUCACAGGGAUCUUUAAUAGUUUAUGCUUUCAUCUGAUGAAUUGAUUGUCAAAGUUAAUAAGACAGAUUUAAAGAACUGAAAGAAAGUCGAAAAAAAAUGUGGAAACCAAUAAAGAUUGAAAUUAAACUAUUGCACCUUCUGUAAGAUAAAUGGAAAACAAAAUAAAUAAAUGGCAAAGCAAAAUAAAAUCUAAAUAUUUUUAGUAUGAGUGCUUUAAAGCUGAUCAACAAUUUUCUACGUGUGCUGGCCUAAAGAGGAUGAGUCGUUAAACUAGAAUGAGAAUUGGGCCAUAUACCCAGGGCAGGUGAAAUUAGCGUGAGGUAAUUAUGAAGGCAUAGGGAGAUUUUUAGCAUUGACACAAUUAAAGACUGAAGUAUGCAGAGGAAAAGAAAAACAUGAGACUAAAAUUAGAAAAAACUAAAAUAAAUAUUGUAUUUGGAUUCUUUUUUCCAAAAAAUUUUUUGCAAUUUGGGCAACAUAAGCUUAUAUUUGAAAACCUGUG